UAUAACUCAAGUCAACAUUUUUAAUCUACAGCAUUUCAAAUUCUAUUAUCUUCAAAGCUAUUUAUAUGAAAUAACAGUUCCAAUCUCAGUUAGAAUUAAUGAAAACAAUGGAGUUGCUGAUCCAAGUAAAUAUUGAAAAGUGCAGAAGACAAAAGAAUACAGGGAAGAAUGCAAAAUUCAAAAUCAGGGUUAACUCGGGAUUUUUACUUCCUUGGUAAAAACCUCAAGUGUAAAACCAGAAGGGGUUCCCCCCCCCCCAGGUGGAAUUCGAUAACAAAAGACUGAGCCCUGAGUGACUGCUUGAUUCAUUCUGCAUUCAUCCCUAAUGUGACCAGGUUUUUCUCUAAAAAAACAAACAACACAUCAGCUAUGUUAAAGCAGCAGCAUCUAGGAUAGUACACAACUGAGCCAUGACAAACAGCGUAUAAUACACACAGGCAAUUAAACAAGAAUUUGGCUGGACCAUACAUCUGGAGAAGUCUGCAAUUUUAGGUGUUUUUCUCGAAAGAUAAGCAAAUAUAACAAGUAGUGAUUAAGUUCAACAACAGAUGAAAGUCGCACGGAUGAUUGUGCAUCUUUAUAGAAGUAACCAAUGACAGGUCAACAUGGUGAGUAGUUUCAUUGAUGUUUGUGCUUCACCAUAGAAGUUAUCAAUAACAAUUAACUGACAUGGUGAAAGACUUCAUUGAUGUUGUCGACAUGGUGAGCAAUAUCAUUGAUGUUUGUGCUUCACCACAGAAGCUACCAAUAACAGGUCGACAUUGUGAGCAAUAUCAUUGAUGUUUGUGCUUCACCACAGAAGCUACCAAUAACAGGUCGACAUUGUGAGCAAUAUCAUUGAUGUUUGUGCUUCACCACAGAAGCUACCAAUAACAGGUCCACAUUGUGAGCAAUAUCAUUGAUGUUUGUGCUUCACCACAGAAGCUACCAAUAACAGGUCGACAUGGUGAGCAAUAUCAUUGAUGUUUGUGCUUCACCCUAGAAGAUUUCAAAGAUGGGUCGACAUGGUGAGCGAUUUCACUACAUAAGUUACCAAUGAGAGGUCAACAUGGUGAGUAAGCUCACUGUCUUCACAUGGUUACUUAUACUUCUGAAAAUAUUAUUUUCACUUCUUCCCUACAGAAUAUCAGACUGGUAUGGUCCUUUUUGACUAUAGGCACCUAGUAAAAGAGUGCAGAGAUGUUCCACAGAAUUUGGGAAAAAACCCUACUGUCAAAAGACUCUGUUAUGAAUGUGUAUAAGGCCACCUAAAGUAAAGGGCACUUGAUUUAGAAAAUCAGAAUGUGAAUCGGAAAAGGGCAGUCCCACUUGGGAAACAGCACCAUAACUACACAGGAAAAGGAAAUAUUUUUAAACUAGGCCAAAAACCAACAGUUGGCAAAGUGUCUUAGGUGAAAUAAGAGAUGUAAAAGGUGAGUUGGGACCAGUCAUUUUUGUCCCAAAUUCUGUGGAACUUAUUCCGCAUUUAAACAUCAUUUAAGCAAUUUUACAAGCUUUUUUUUUUAGAACAUUUAAAAUCUCACAAA